rnacentral:sRNA from 2 species
AUCGCCGGUACGCCGAAUCCUGUCGCCGGCCGUUCGGGAGGCUGACGAGCACCACACGACAGGAGCGGGGGAACCACAGGUGAACCGCCGAACACGGCACCGAUCGAGACGGUCGGCCGCCGCGAACGGCUUGGGGUGAAGCCACGUCCUUCGGGACGUGGCCGGGCUAUCGAUCUCCGGCCCGAAUCCGACAGCUCACCUCGUAGGCGUGGGAGAGGAUCC